rnacentral:rRNA from 1 species
UACGUAGGGUGCGGGCGUUAAUCGGAAUUACUGGGCGUAAAACGUGCGCAGAUGGCUCCUUAAGUCAGAUGUAAAAGCCCCGGGCUUAACCUGGGAACUGCGUUUGAAACUGGGGAGCUAGAGUGUGGAAGAGGAAAGUGGAAUUCCAGGUGUAGCAGUGAAAUGCGUAGAGAUCUGAAGGAACACCGAUGGCGAAGGCAGCCCCCUGGGCUAACACUGACGCUCAUGCACGAAAGCGUGGGGAGCAAACAGG